GAUGAACGCUGGCGGCGUGCCUAAUACAUGCAAGUCGAGCGAACAGACGAGGAGCUUGCUCCGCUGACGUUAGCGGCGGACGGGUGAGUAACACGUGGAUAACCGACCUAUAAGACUGGGAUAACUUCGGGAAACCGGAGCUAAUACCGGAUAACAUGUUGAACCGCAUGGUUCAACAGUGAAAGACGGUCUUGCUGUCACUUAUAGAUGGGUCCGCGCCGCAUUAGCUAGUUGGUAAGGUAACGGCUUACCAAGGCAACGAUGCGUAGCCGACCUGAGAGGGUGAUCGGGUCCACGAGAACUGAGACGCGGUCCAGACUCCUGCGGGAGGCAGCAGUAGGGAAUCUUCCGCAAUGGGCGAAAGCCUGACGGAGCAACGCCGAGUGAGUGAAGAAGGUCUUCGGAUCGUAAAACUCUGUUAUUAGGGAAGAACAAAUGUGUAAGUAACUAUGCACGUCUUGACGGUACCUAAUCAGAAAGCCACGGCUAACUACGUG
rnacentral:rRNA from 1 species